GCCCAAGUAGCUCAGCUGGUAGAGCAACGCACCCGUAAUGCGUAGGUCGCAAGUUCAAAUCUUGUCUCGGGCACCA
rnacentral:tRNA from 1 species